CCUUUGGGGAGUAGCCUCUCGAUCUAUCGAGAUAAUCGUCAACAUACUUGAAGCAAAAUCUUCAUGGCGAUUAUGACUCACACUAAUCCUACUUUAGUGAGUU
rnacentral:sRNA from 2 species